rnacentral:rRNA from 1 species
AACAAACGCUGGCGGCGUGCAUAACACAUGCAAGUCUAACGGGAAAGUCGGCUUCGGCUGGCGAGUACCGUGGCGAACGGGUGAGUAACACGUGGGUAAUCUAACCUCGAGUUUGGGAUAACCCUGCGAAAGCGGGGCUAAUACCGAAUAAGACCACGCCGUGUUCGCACGGUGCAGUAAAAGGUGGCCUCUUCCUGAAAGCUAUCACUUGAGGAUGAGCCCGCGGCCUAUUAGCUAGUUGGUGGGGUAACGGCCUACCAAGGCAACGAUGGGUAGCCGGCCUGAGAGGGUGUACGGCCACACUGGCACUGAGAUACGGGCCAGACUCCUACGGGAGGCAGCAGUGGGGAAUUUUGCGCAAUGGGGGCAACCCUGACGCAGCAACGCCGCGUGAGUGAUGAAGGCCUUCGGGUCGUAAAGCUCUUUUAGUGGGGAAGAAGCCUCUUUUGGCUAAUAUCCAAGGGAGAUGACGGUACCCACAGAAAAAGUUCCGGCUAACUACGUGCCAGCAGCCGCAGUAA